rnacentral:rRNA from 1 species
AACGAACGCUGGCGGCAGGCUUAACACAUGCCAGUCGAACGGAUCCUUCGGGAUUAGUGGCAGACGGGUGAGUAACGCGUGGGAACGUACCCUUUGCUACGGAAUAACUCAGGGAAACUUGAGCUAAUACCGUAUGUGCCCUACGGGGGAAAGAUUUAUCGGCAAAGGAUCGGCCCGCGUUGGAUUAGCUAGUUGGUGGGGUAAUGGCCUACCAAGGCGACGAUCCAUAGCUGGUCUGAGAGGAUGAUCAGCCACACUGGGACUGAGACACGGCCCAGACUACUACGGGAGGCAGCAGUGGGGAAUAUUGGACAAUGGGCGCAAGCCUGAUCCAGCCAUGCCGCGUGAGUGAUGAAGGUCUUAGGAUUGUAAAGCUCUUUCACCGGUGAAGAUAAUGACGGUAGCCGGAGAAGAAGCCCCGGCUAACUUCGUG